AAGGAUAUAGCUCAAGUGGUAGAGCACAUGCUUAGCAUGCAUGAGGUCCUGGGUUCAGUCCCCAGUACCCACU
rnacentral:tRNA from 1 species